UUUUUUGUAAGUAAAAUUUCUCCGUAAUGGUCGUUGCGGAGCUUCCCGAAGUUGACACGAAGGAAUGAAGUUAGCGACUUGGUCCGUAUGAAAGAAACAGGCUAAAAUUAUGACUCCACUGGAGAAAUGCUAGAGGCGCUGAUUCUGUUAUAAUUAUAAUGUUCAUCAAUAUAAAAAUCCAAGAUCACAAAUUCAGGAUGGGAACCUUAAAAAUCUAUCAUUGAUUUCUAGUGGCUGAUGAGUGUGUUCU